GACGAACGCUGGCGGCGUGCCUAACACAUGCAAGUCGAACGAGACGUUCGGGACCUGUGGCCCACGGGUGCGUCAGGCGUGGGGACCUGCACUUAGGUUCGGCCUACCUCUCCGACAGGGGCGCUAUCACCGGAUCAUGUCUUCUGCCGAAUGAUAUAUCGCAUUUGGUUGGGCACGAGUGGGAUUAGAUCGUUGGUAGGGUAAAAGCUUACCACGGGGAGCAUUAAUAGCUGGGUAGAGAGGAUGAUCAGCCACACUGGGACUGGGACACGGCCCAGACUCCUACGGGAAGGAGCAGUGGGGAAUAGAGGACAAUGGGGGAAGGGCUGAUCCAGCAAGGCCGCGUGAGUGAUGAAGGCCGUAGGGUUGUAAAGCGCAUGUACCCGGGAAGAUAAUGACAGUACCGGGAGAGUAAGCCCCGGCUAACUCCGUG
rnacentral:rRNA from 1 species